rnacentral:rRNA from 1 species
GAUACCCUAUUAUUUUAAACGUGAAUUUUUUACCUUGAUUAUUAAUAGGUACGAUCUUUAAAAUUAAAAAAUUUGGCGGUAUUUUAGUCUGUUCAGAGGAACCUGUUUUUUAAUCGAUGGUCCACGAUAAUUUUUACUUUAGUUUUAAAUUUAUAUAUCGUCGUUUGUAAAAAUUUUAGUAGAAUGAUAAUUUUUUUGAUUUUUGAUUAAAAGUUAUUUCAGAUCAAGGUGUAGUUUAUAUUAAAGAUUAAAUGGGUUACAUUAAAUUUAUUUUUGGUUUCAUUAUUUAAAAUUUUGAAUAAAUUGGAUUUGAUAGUAAAUUUUUUAUUUAUGAUUAUUGAUUUAGCUCUAAAAUAUGCACACAUCGCC